rnacentral:rRNA from 1 species
ACUGUUCAGAUUAGCCAUGCAUGUCUCAGUAUAAGCUUCUAUACGGCGAAACUGCGAAUGGCUCAUUAUAUCUAUUAUAGUUUAUUUGAUGGUCAUUCAUUACAUGGAUAACCGUGGGAAUUCUAGAGCUAAUACAUGCGCUCAAACCCCCCUUCGUGGAAGGGUUGGGUGUAUUAAAUACAGAACUAACCCAGGCUCCGCCGGGCCGUUUGGUGAUUCAUAAUAACCGAACGGAUCACAUGGCUCCUGCUGGCGAUGAAUCAUUCAAGCUUCUGACCUAUCAACUUCCGACGGAAGGGUAUUGGCCUACCGUGGCAGUGACGGGUAACGGACAAUUAGGGUUCGAUUCCGGAGAGGGAGCCUGACAAACGGCUACCACAUCUAAGGAAGGCAGCAGGCGCGCAAAUUACCCAAUCCUGACACAGCGAGGUAGUGACAAGAAAUAACAAUACAGGGCAUCCUUGUCUUGUAAUUGGAAUGAGUAGACUUUAACUCCCUUU